rnacentral:rRNA from 1 species
GACAGAGGGUGCAAACGUUGCUCGGAAUCACUGGGCGUAAAGGGCGUGUAGGCGGGCAGGAAAGUCGGGCGGGAAAUCCCUGGGCUCAACCCAGGAACUGCACUCGAAACUUCUUUUCUUGAGUGCCGGAGAGGAAAGCGGAAUUCCUGGUGUAGAGGUGAAAUUCGUAGAUAUCAGGAGGAACACCAGUGGCGAAGGCGGCUUUCUGGACGGUAACUGACGCUGAGACGCGAAAGCGUGGGGAGCAAACAGG